rnacentral:rRNA from 1 species
AUUGAACGCUGGCGGCAGGCCUAACACAUGCAAGUCGAGCGAGUGGCGGACGGGUGAGUAAUGUCUGGGAAACUGCCUGAUGGAGGGGGAUAACUACUGGAAACGGUAGCUAAUACCGCAUACCAUCAGAUGAACCCAUAUGGGAUUAGCUAGUUGGUGGGGUAAAGGCUAACCUAGGCGACGAUCCCUAGCGGGUCUGAGAGGAUGACCGGCCACACUGGGACGGAGACACGGCCCAGACUCCUACGGGAGGCAGCAGUGGGGAAGAUUGCACAAUGGGCGCAAGCCUGAUGCAGCCAGGCCGCGUGUAUGAAGAAGGCCUUGGGGUUGUAAAGUACUUUCAGCGGGGAGGCGGUACCCGCAGAAGAAGCACCGGCUAACGCCGUGCCAGCAGCCGCGGUAAUUC